AACAAAUAUUAGUGAAUUAGGUUCAAAGUCAAAUGGCGUUUUAAAAGUUUUAAUCACGUGUCGAAAGAUAAGGCAGUAAAUUUACGUGGCUACAAAGUGUUCUUUGACAAUACACCUCUAUUUCAAAUUCUCUUUGCUGUUAGUUACCCAAAUCAGUUGAACAGUUUGCUACUUUGCUGUGCGGUAUUUAGAGCACCAACAUAGGUCUUGACUGGCUUAAAAAGUUAAAAUGCUCAGAGUUUUUGUAUGUUUUUGAUUCGUUAUUUUUGUUGCAUGUAGAGACGGCCCAAUGAUGCUAUUUUGAGGUCAUUUACUGAAAAUAGGUCCGUUGGCACUGUUUGAUGUAUCUUUCUAAUCAUGCUCUACCCGUUCCUCGCCUUUACCAUUACUACCGAUCAGAUUUGAUAACGGCACUGUCACAAGAACUUACAUUAUUCAGUCAGCGGCAGUAAUGCAGUUGGCAGUAAUGUCGCGUUACAAAUACUGCGGCAGUAGUGCAGCUGCGGUUGGGAAUCCGAACGUUACCUUUACAUUGUUUACCUAUAGAGUAGUGGUCGACCUGGGGUAUCUUGCUGUAGGUUGUUUAUACGUUGCGCUUUAAGUUUAUUUGUAUAAUUUAAAACGCAGCAGUGACAGCGAAGUAUUCACACACACACUCAAAACGUUUUACCUAUGACCAAAAUAAAAUUCAUGAAACGGAACGCAAACUUGUCAUGAUUGACAGAUGUCAAAGUCAGAAAGCCCAUGAAAUGCGGGAAUCAAGUUUCAACAAAAUAUGUUGUAUACGUGCGAAAUAUGUUUAAAAAAUUCACCACGUCGUACAGGACGAUCAACGAAACUCUCGACUUCUUUAAGAGCAGUCAGGUGGAUACAUCUCUCAAUAUGUUCGUAAUCUCAGAGAGCGUCUAAAGCGAGCAAUCCGAUGAUAGCUUUAUGCUCGACGACAUUGGAAUGACGAAGAUUGGAUCAAUGCGAAAUUAGCUCAAAUUCAAAAUACGGAUACAGAAGAUGACGUUUUAUUUCGUGAGUGAGCCAUCCAUCAAUUUGUGUCAACAAGAACAGUCCCAAAGCAUCCAAGAAAGUACCAGUGUUUCUAUUACUGACUUGAUUAUAUAAAUCAUGCUAUUUAUUUAAUAAUUUCAAGUAAUACUAACUACAUUUAUAGCAAUUAAAAUAUAUGUCUGA